rnacentral:lncRNA from 1 species
CUUUUCAUUCCCGUUGUUAUGGAGGUAGGCUCUCUAGGAAUCUGGGAGUAGUAGCUGGGGGGCAAGAGCAAAUAAAGAGCUCGAGCUUCUGUGGUCUCUGGGGAGAUGUUCCCGGGAAGCCUGUCUAGAGGGCGGAGGGCAGCUGUUGAGAUGGCGUGGCUCCCCGGCUCCUGCGCCCGCGUGGCUUUCGCGGCGGGCGCUGCGGCCCGGUAUUGGACAGCCUGGCAGGGCAGCGCGGGGCCGAAUCCGGCUGCCGUGGCUGAGGCUCAUGGAUCACUCUUUUGUGGUAGGGCCACAUCUGCCAGAGCCUGGAGUCUGCGAAGGCCGGGACCCGGUUCCCCGGCCCACAGUGGGGGUGUGCAAACCCGAGAGAACUGGGUUGCAAAUUCGUGAAGAAUCAGCAUCAUGUUUGGCAGCUGAGUAUUGGAGCCAGGAGCCUGCCAUGAGGUUUUGAGAACAGAGUGCUGUUUUAGAGCUGGCAGCAGCAUCUCAGCCCAAGAGAAGGUUAUAUUCCCAGAGGAUGUCAGUCCCAAGGACCAGUAGCUGCCAUCAGUUUGGAUUCUGAAAACUAACUGGCAUCAACACUGGGUGUAGAAACAUGCUUGCCUUAUGUAUCAGAGGACAUGCUCAGCAGAUCCAAGAGAUAUAUUUGGCAACUUUUUCUAGAAAAGGCACAUUGGGUAUCAUUCAUUACAUUCUUGAGUUUUUUUGGGUUUUUUUUUUUUUUUUUGAGACAGUCUUGCUGUAUUGCCCAGGCUGGAGUGUGGUGGCACAAUCACAGCUCAUUGCAUCCUCAAUCACCCAGGCCUAAGCAAUCCUCCCACCUUGUAGCUGGGACUACAGCUCACAGCACACCUGGCUAAAAUUUUUUUUUUGUUGAGACGGAUUCUCUAUGUUGCCCAGGCUGGUCUCAGGCUCCUGGGCUCAGAUGGUCCUCCUGCCUCAGCUUCCAAAGGCACAGGCCAAGUUGUAGCUUUGUCCCUUGCCAUCAUGCCCAACAAGAGGUUCUAUACCUUUUAAUGAAUUGACUUUCAUAAAUUGGUUAUGUUGGUGGGCAAAGUUCUUUAAGCUGGAAAUUGUAAAUUCCUCCUGAAAUGUUUUUUCAUGCAGUUACCAUGAACUAAUACUACAAUAAAGGAUGGUCUUGGGUGUCAAUUCUUGAAAA